UAGUAACUGCGAGUGAAGAGGGAAAAGCUCAAAUUUGAAAUCUGGUGGUUCUUGUGACCAUCCGAGUUGUAAUUUAGAGAAGUGUUACCCGCGCUGGACCGUGUACAAGUCUCCUCGAACGGAGCAUCAUAGAGGGUGAGAAUCCCGUAUAUGACACGGACUCCCAGGGCUUUGUGGUGCGCUCUCAACGAGUCGAGUUGUUUGGGAAUGCAGCUCUAAAUGGGUGGUAAAUUCCAUCUAAAGCUAAAUAUAGGCGAGAGACCGAUAGCGAACAAGUACCGUGAGGGAAAGAUGAAAAGAACUUUGGAAAGAGAGUUAAACAGUACGUGAAAUUGUUGAAAGGGAAACGCUUGAAGUCAGUCGCGUCUCUCAGAGAUCAACCUGGCCUUUUCGCUUGGUGCACUCUCUGUGGGAUGGGUCAGCAUCAAUUUUGACUGGGGGAAAAAGUUGGUGGGGAUGUGGCACCCUUGUGGUGUGUUAUAACCUGCUUGCAUAUACCUCUGUUGGGAUUGAGGAACUCAGCACGCCUAAAGGCCGGACUUUAGUCACGUACGUGCUUAGGAUGCUGGCAUAAUGUCUUCAAUCGACCCGUCUUGAAACACGGACCAAGGAGUCUAACAUGCGCGCGAGUGUUUGGGUGAAAAACCCAAGUGCAUAAUGAAAGUGAAAGUUGAGACCUCUGUCGUGGAGGGCAUCGACGCCCGGAUCAGAUCUUUUGGGACGAUUCCGAGGUAGAGCGUGCACGUUGGGACCCGAAAGAUGGUGAACUAUGCCUGAAUAGGGUGAAGCCAGAGGAAACUCUGGUGGAGGCUCGUAGCGAUUCUGACGUGCAAAUCGAUCGUCGAAUUUGGGUAUAGGGG
rnacentral:rRNA from 1 species